rnacentral:tRNA from 1 species
UGGGGUGUAGCCAAGCGGUAAGGCAACGGGUUUUGAUCCCGUCAUGCGUAGGUUCGAAUCCUACCACCCCAACCA